rnacentral:rRNA from 1 species
GACGAACGCUGGCGGCGUGCUUAACACAUGCAAGUCGAACGAUGAAGCCGGAGCUUGCUCUGGUGAAUUAGUGGCGAACGGGUGAGUAACACGUGAGUAAACUGCCCUUCACUCCGGGAUAACUGCGGGAAACUGUAGCUACUACCGUAUACGACCCUCGGAGGCAUCUCCCGGGGGUGUAAAGAAUUUCAGUCAAGGAUGGACUCGCGGCCUAUCCGUUCGUUGGUAAGGUAAAGGCUCACCAGGGCGACGACGUGUAGCCGGCCUGAGAGGGGUACCAGCCACACUGGGACUGAGACACGACCCAGAGUCCUACGGGAGGCAGCAGAGGAGAAGAUUGCACAAUGGGCGCGAGCCUGGGGCAGCAGCGCCGCGUGAGAGAUGACGACCUCCGGGUUGUAAAUCUCUUUUAGCAGGGAUGAAGCGAAAGAGACGGUACCUGCAGAAAAAGCACCGGCUAACUACGUGCCAGCCGCCGCGGUAA